rnacentral:lncRNA from 1 species
AAUGUCACGCCCCAAAUCCUAUUAAGGCGGACUGGCACCCGUUGCCGGUAAGGCUCGGGAGAACCAACCUGUAGCGAUACAUUACCUAUGAACAUUAUAAGUUACUUUCAUACUAAACAUGCCCUCAAAAGAUAAAUAGGACUAGCAAGCCAAAAGAUAUUAUAUGACUAGGCCGUUGGAGCCACAAUGUCUACGGUACGAUACAUGACCAUACUAUACUUUACGUAGUCUACAAAGCCUCUAGACAAAAAACAUUAUCUUACAAGGGUCGGGACAGGCCCCGCCUCAUGAUAAGAUACUAUACAAUACAAAAAGAUAUGAUAAGACUCAAAGCCCCGAAGCAACCUGGAGCUCAGUGACUGCAGUUGAUAUCCUGUACUCUUACUGGGGAGGUUUAUUAGCUUCUGUACCUGCAGCAUGGAAUGCAGGUCCCCCAAGAGGGACGUCAGUACGAAAUAAUGUACUGAAUAUGUAAGGCAACAUGUACUAUAUAUGAGAUAAAAACUCAAAUGAAACCAUGUACUGCUGUAGGGUAAAAGACCACCUUUAUGAAUAUUGUGGAGUCAUGUAUCUUAUAACAAUUAUGUUACUUUACUCUUAUUGCUUGUAUAAUCUGUGCACAGCAUGUAAUACAGAUGACCAGCUGAUCAGUGGUAAAUCUAUAUCAGGAUCGACCCAUGCUAGGCUUUCCUUUCACCCCUGGGAUACCCCCUGGAAUGCUGGGAUUGACCCAUGCUAGGUGAUUCUUUCACCCCUGGGAUACCACCCAUCAGAAGCAACUGUAGACAUAAAUCUUCUUAUUACUUUUGAGAUGAAUCUUUGGUGGUCGUAACAUUUGAGCUAUAAGACUAUAAGCAUGACAAAUGACAAGUAUGUGUCCAUGUAACAUCAUAUCAUAAUGAAAAGAGUGGGUUGUACAAUUAGUGAAACAUGUAGGACAUAAACAACGUAUGAACUUUAUUUAGCUAAAAAGAAGACUCAUAUGUCAUGGUACCCAAUGUAUGUAUGCAGCAGUGACAAUGCUCGAAUCUGGACACACAAGUACAUGUUAAAGAGUGGAGUGGUUAUGUCAAAGUUUGUAAAGAUCUCUAUGUGCCAAUGAAGACUUUGGAUUCCAUGCCAAAUAAUAAGAGAUCGAAUAGCCUUACAUACCUCGACAUAUCAACUUGUUUUUACGUCGAAAUGACUUCUUUUCUUCCAACUAUUUAUCUACAAUAUCAUGUUUUAAAGCUAGUAUUAGCAGCUAAUCAAUGCAUCUGGACAGCCCAAUCUCACAAGACACAACACUUUGGCAACAAACGUAUAACCAUCAACUCAAUGGUGUUAUUCCGACUUUCUCAAUUCUAACUGUAUUCAACCAGCAUAGAUUAUCAUAUACAUGAUGUAUACAGCCUAUAUUAGUUCUAUAACAUGCUGGCAACAGUCCAUAACUACAACACAUAACCAUUUUACAAAACGCUCAACUAAGAAGCACAACAUCUCGUCGUCUCCCUACAUUUCGUCGUUAACAAUUCAUACUUGUCCCAACUUUGAACCAGAUGCUCCCAACAUAUAUAUACAUCAAAUAAACCUUAACAUAGUCACAAAAUAGCUCAAAACGUAGGGGAAACGUGAAACAACAUCCCCCUCAACAAAACAGUCCAAUACCAGUUUGGAAGCACAUAAGAUCAUAUAAGGAUACUUGUUUCCAAAGAACUAGCAAAACAGUCCAGCAACCUUGGCAACCAUAUACACACUAUAACAUGUUAAUAACCUCAACUUUACAUCAUAUUAAAGUGAAAAAUCAGGGUAAAAAUCGUUCCAAAGCCAAGAAAACCAAACAACAACUUUCAGGACACAAGCUGUCCAGAAAUUCCUGCACAGUGAACCAGCCAACUUAUCUUGUUUUCCAUGGAAAAUUCAUAUCAAGUAUAUGGUUAUUUUUACAUACCUUAACUCCCAAGGUGUAGGUCUAAUUCAAGAACUCAAAAAGUAGCCUUUGGUUGCCUUCCAAGGUGAAGAAAUACCAAGAGAAACUUAGAGAGAAAUUCUGAAAUUUUU